ACAAUUUCCAGUGAAUGGUUCUGCAGCAGAUGUAAAAGUUAAAAUUGAAGAAGCUUUUACAGCCCUCCGUGGCAUCGGUGGGUUUAAGAUAAUGAGGUGCUGCAGAAGCAGGAAACUAAUUGACUUGCCAGUCCCAGCAGGAGGCUACACGGUGUCAUAUUUAAAAGAAGACAGUGGACUAAACAGAGCUGUCGCCUAUGUUGUGCCUCUUCAAAGUGACCUCAUCUUAAUGGCGGAGGAGGAGGACCUCAGUCAGAAAGAUGAGGGUUUUGGAAAAGAGCAGUGUAAGAGGUGUGGACAGGAGGUCCCCAUUCACCUCCUGGUCCAACAUCUAACACAACAUGAAAG
ensembl:lncRNA